rnacentral:rRNA from 1 species
CAUGUCCUUUUGAUUAUAAUUUAAGGUCUAAUCUGCUCAAUGAUUAUUUAAAUAGCCGCAGUAUUUUAACUGUGCAAAGGUAGCAUAAUAAUUAGUUUCUUAAUUAGGGGCUUGUAUGAAUGAUUGGACGAGAAAAUUUCUGUCUCCUUUUAAUUAAUUUUUGAAUUUUAUUUUUAAGUUAAAAAGCUUAAAUUUUUAUAAAAGACGAGAAGACCCUAUAGAGUUUUAUACUUCUAAUUUAUUGAUGUUUAGAAAUUUCUUUAUUUUUUAUGUAUUUAGUUGGGGUGACUUGGAGAUAAAAUUAAUUCUUCAAAUAUUUAAUUGAUGAUUUUUAAAUUAAAAAUCUAGCUUUUAAAUUUAAAAUUAAUUACCUUAGGGAUAACAGCGUAAUUUUUCUUUAAAGCUCUUAUUGAAAGGAAAUUUUGCGACCUCGAUGUUGGAUUAAAAUUAAUUUUUGGUGCAGUAACUUAAAAAUUAGGUCUGUUCGACCUUUAAAAUUUUACAUGAUCUGAGUUUAAACCGGCGUAAGCCAGGUUGGAUUCUAUCUUUAGAAUUUUUUUAUAUUUUAGUACGAAAGGACCAAAUAUAUACCAUAUAUUGGUUGUUACUUUGGCAGAUUAGUGUAUUUGAUUUAGAAUCAUUUUAAGUAAGUUUUUACAGGUAAUAUUUGUUUAUUUUUGAUAUAUUUUUGGCUUUAGUUUGUAUGAUUGUUUUUGUUUUAUUUAUUUUAGUUGGAGUAGCUUUUUUUACUCUUCUAG